AUGCAAGUCGAACGGUAACAUUUCUAGCUUGCUAGAAGAUGACGAGUGGCGGACGGGUGAGUAAUGCUUGGGAACUUGCCUUUGCGAGGGGGAUAACAGUUGGAAACGACUGCUAAUACCGCAUAAAGCCUUCGGACCAAACGGGGCUUCGGCUCCGGCGCAAAGAGAGGCCCAAGUGAGAUUAGCUAGUUGGUAAGGUAACGGCUUACCAAGGCGACGAUCUCUAGCUGUUCUGAGAGGAAGAUCAGCCACACUGGGACUGAGACACGGCCCAGACUCCUACGGGAGGCAGCAGUGGGGAAUAUUGCACAAUGGGGGAAACCCUGAUGCAGCCAUGCCGCGUGUGUGAAGAAGGCCUUCGGGUUGUAAAGCACUUUCAGUUGUGAGGAAAAGUUAGUAGUUAAUACCUGCUAGCCGUGACGUUAACAACAGAAGAAA
rnacentral:rRNA from 1 species